UACGUAGGGUGCAAGCGUUGUCCGGAAUUAUUGGGCGUAAAGAGCUCGUAGGCGGUCUGUCACGUCGGCUGUGAAAACCUGGGGCUCAACCCCGGGCCUGCAGCCGAUACGGGCAGACUAGAAUUCGGUAGGGGAGACUGGAAUUCCUGGUGUAGCGGUGAAAUGCGCAGAUAUCAGGAGGAACACCGGUGGCGAAGGCGGGUCUCUGGGCCGAUAUUGACGCUGAGGUGCGAAAGCGUGGGGAGCAAACAGG
rnacentral:rRNA from 1 species